rnacentral:rRNA from 1 species
ACGCUCGACACCUACGGGAGCAGCAGUGGGGAAUAUUGCACAAUGGGGGAAACCCUGAUGCAGCGACGCCGCGUGAAGGAAGAAGUAUUUCGGUAUGUAAACUUCUAUCAGCAGGGAAGAAGAUGACGGUACCUGAGUAAGAAGCACCGGCUAAAUACGUGCCAGCAGCCGGUAAUCUGAGCGGGCUGGCAAGGC